CCCGGUAGGUAAGGCUACCACAGGGAUAUGGGCCGCUGCCGCAAAAGGAUGGAGACAUCCUGCGCUGGUUUGAACAGGGCCUGUCGAAUGCAAGGCAGGCUCUAACGUGGCUUCACCGCCCUGUGAUGCUAAAGCUCGGACGGC
rnacentral:sRNA from 1 species